GUGCUUUGGCAGCACAUAUACUAAAACUGUAAUGAUACAGAGAAGAUUAGCUUGGCCCCUGUGCAAGGAUGACAUGAAAAUCUCUUGAGCUCAGAAGUUCCAGACUAUU
rfam:Otolemur garnettii contig043116, whole genome shotgun sequence.